rnacentral:rRNA from 1 species
GAUGAACGCUGGCGGCGUGCUUAACUCAUGCAAGUCGAACGAACCUUCGGGUUAGUGGCGGACGGGUGAGUAACGCGUGGGAAUCUGCCCUCAGGAGGGGGAUAACGGCUGGAAACGGCCGCUAAUACCCCAUAUGCCGAGAGGUGAAAUGAAUUUCGCCUGAGGAUGAGCCCGCGUCUGAUUAGCUAGUUGGUGAGGUAAGAGCACACCAAGGCAUCGAUCAGUAGCUGGUCUGAGAGGAUGAUCAGCCACAACUGGGACUGAGACACGGCCCAGACUCCUACGGGAGGCAGCAGUGGGGAAUUUUCCGCAAUGGGCGAAAGCCUGACGGAGCAACGCCGCGUGAGGGAUGAAGGCCUCUGGGCUGUAAACCCCUUUCUCAAGGAAGAAGAUCUGACGGUACUUGAGGAAUAAAGCCACGGCUAAUUCCGUGCCAGCAGCCGCAGU